rnacentral:rRNA from 1 species
CAGCCGUAAACUAUGCUCGCUAGGUGUCAGGCAUGGCGCGACCGUGUCUGGUGCCGCAGGGAAGCCGUGAAGCGAGCCACCUGGGAAGUACGGCCGCAAGGCUGAAACUUAAGGAUUGGCGGGGGAGCACCACAACGGGUGGAGCCUGCGGUUUAAUUGGACUCAACGCCUGGAAGCUCACCGGAUAAGACAGCGGAAUGAUUGCCGGGCUGAAGACUCUGCAUGACUAGCUGAGAGGAGGUGCAUGGCGUAGACGU